rnacentral:sRNA from 1 species
GUUUGCACUCAUCGGGGAAGGGUGAGAACCUUCGACUAAGGUUCGAUUCGAGCGAAAGCGAGAGAACGUUGCCACAGACAACGGCCCGAAGGGUGAGGAGCGAAGCGACGAAUAAUCCUUCCCCCACCACCA